GCAGCCUACCUGAUGUGAAGACAAUGAAGAUAAAGACCUUUGUGAUGAUUCUCUUCCACUUAAUGGACAGCCCAGCAGAACUUGGGGAAGAUGGCAUACUACCUUUCAGUGGUGGACAGAACAUAAUUCUUCAUCUCCUAUUUUGCUUCUCUCCCUUCUCUUUGGACUGACAAGAGUCCCACACCAUUUAGGAGCUCAGUAGGGGAAAAAACUACACUGGGCAUUUCAGAAGAGGUAACAACUCCAGAAUCCAUCACCAUCUCUACGAAUGAGGGGCAAAGGGAAGAAGUGGGAAGACAGAAUCUAGAACUGCGUAGCUGGGUCUGACAUCCCAGGGGACACCACUCAGCAGUUGCUGGGUCCCCUGAAGUGUCAUGAUGAAGGCUUAAUGCUGGAGCAAUGACAACAGAAUCUAGUAAGCCAGUGGGAAGUAGCAAGUCUCUUCUCCUGCCUUCCCGUCUCUCCUCAGUGUUCUUACUGGCAGAACCAAACAUGGAAUCAGUCAGCAAAAGAUAAAGGUGUUUUGCAGUGUGCUGGGCCCAGCAUCUCAAAGCAAGGCAUAGAAAGGGCAAGGAGAGAAGGGGGCUUGGAGCUGAGAGACAGUCGCCAAAUAACUGGCAUCCCUCUUCAUAGGUAGUGUUCCCUAUUCCCUUGGGGUACAUGAUGCUUGGAUGAUUCUCUUUUUAUGUAUUGUUAUCAGCCACUGAUGAUGAUUACCUUAAUCCAUUAAUUCACAUGGGACUACAAAAUCAGCAAAGUGAUUGAUAAGAUAUGUCAUGAUAUCCAUGUGGAUAAGAUAGAGAGACGUGGAAUGAUGGAAAAAUAUCUGGGUGGGGCAGUAGUUAGAUAAACACACCCAGUAUUGAUGAAUGGCUCUUGUCCCUCCAGAGGGAGGUUUCUGGUGGUUGGGUUUUUGUUCUUGACCCUAUACUGUUUUGUGUUUUUAUCAUUUUGACUUGGAUGAAGGUAAAGAGUAGGGAGGAAUUUUUUAAAUAUAUUUGCUGAGUUCAGUAUUGUUCACUAUUCUUUUUUUUCACACCUUGGCACUGAUGGAAAUUGUUAACAUCUGUACAGUCAACUGAAGAAAUUCCAUGAGAUUACCCACAGCCUAAGGUGAUUGGCUUAACGUCUGACUGUUCCAGGCCUCACCCAGUGGUUCCAAAAGCUGAGGGGAUCAAUGCUUCAAAGCUGGAGGGAGUUACACUUGGUGCACAUCCAAAACCUAUUCAUAGAUCACUAGCUGGAAAGCUUCAUUCUAAAGAUGUGGUUAAGGCUGGAAUUCUGUCUCAUAGCACAGCUACAUCUCCCCAUGAGGUUCCCAAGGAGAAGAACAAGUGGAAAGUCAAGCCACUGCUUUAUUAUUUGCUAUGCUGGUGUCUGAUCUCUUAGUGAAGGGCUCUCUGAUAAUCUGGGCUGGGCCAUAUGGAUUUAGCUUGAGAUUUAAGGGAUUCCUUUUCCCUUGGGCAGAUUCAAGAAGGGAGCCCAGACAGCAAUCUCAGCCAGCAAAAGCAGUUUCCUGAAACCAUAGACAAAAUGUGUCCAAGCUCCAAGAUGUAGCUAGAGACUAAUCUCUUCCAUGCAGCUUGCAGCCUCAUUUCUGCAGCACAGAUACCAUGAGAGGAGACCCCUAAAAUCUCUUGUCUGAAUGGGAUUAGGGUGGGGCAGGCAGGAAGAGAAGACCCCAGGCUGACUAACAGAUCAAUGACAGGCAUAGAAAAAGAAGAGAUAAGAGCGAGUCUCAUGUGAGGACCAUUUAAAAAUGCAUGGUGACUGUCCACAGAACAUGCUGCCCACUGUCCUCUUGGGACCCGCAAACCGGUUAUCAGCUCCUCUUCUCUGAAUGCGUGUGAAGGGGUUAGGGUCAGGGUUAGUUAUUCAUUGUAUUACAUCUUACCCCAAACUUAGUGGCUUAAAACAACAACCAUUUUUUUUUUCUGUUUGUUUCUGAGGGUGUCUGUGGGUUGGGAAGCUGGGAAUGUCUUGGCUGGGUAGUUCUGGCUCAGGGUCCCUCAUGAGGCCAAUGCGAUCAAGAUGUUGGCCAGGGCUGCAGUCAUCCAAGACUUGAUGGGGCUGGAGGAACCACUUCUGAGGUCACUCAGGACUGUUGGUAAAAGCCUUUGGUUCUUUGCUACAUGGGGAUCCUGUUGGGGCUGCCUGUGACAUGCCUGCCCCGCCCUCCACAGUGAUGGGGGAACGGGAGGCUUGUUGUGGGAUGAGGCUGGGAAGUUGUGCAGAGGCUUCAUACCACAUUUAGGCAGUUAGGUAAGAUAACGUCUCUGUUUCCCCUCCGACUCUCAUCUUCCCCCAUCUCAAAGCUCCUCCUGAGGUCAGAGAAAUUGAGAGAAGACCCAGCCUCACAACCUUGCCAGAGGGGAGCCCUGGCUUUGGAAGGGCAUUCUGGUUAGGGAGUGGAUGGGGAGUGAAGCUUAAGCUUAGAAAAGCAUGGGACAGGGAGAGAGGAAAGGACAGUCAUCGUUAGGCUCCCCGUCCCCAGACUUGGCCUCAUCUCCAGUCCAAAUUAUCCUGUGGGCUCUGUCUCACCAUGAGAUGCUCUGCAAGACAUGGAGCAUCAAGCUACCUCGGUCAAUGUUUUGUCAUCAGCCCUUGAUAUGCGCCCCUGGUCUUUGUGGCCCCUGAAAGCUGUUCUAAACCUGAGAUUAACCUGAGAUGUCCCCCAAUGGCUGAGUCACAAGAAGUGGGCAGCUGGCUGGGGUUUAGUGUGUGAAAGCCACAGCAUAAAGAGGGGCUUUGUGCUGCCACUGGCAGGGGUCAGUCCACAGAGUGGCUGGUAUUGAGGGUACUUGUGCUUGGCCUUCAGUGGAAGGGGAAGACUCUCCCCAAACCCCAGAGGCACUGAAACUUGCCCUUCCUCUUGGCAGUGCAAAGACACUUGCCAUUAGGAGGAGCUCCCCUGGUGUCCAUGCUGCUGCUGACUGCUCACUCACUGCCUCUCAUCACCCUCAUGCUUGUCAUGGCCCUGUGGUCAUGUCUGUCUUAAUAUGGUAUAGCCUUUGCUAUAGAUCCAGGUAAUAGACCCCAGACCCCUUUCUGACUCGGUUUUGUGCUGAUGCUGAAGAGUUCUGCCAUCAUGCUCUGGAUGAUUUUGCUUGCUAAGAUUGUUGUCUGGGCUCCCUUCUUGAAUCUGCCCAAGGGAAAAGUAAGAAGAAGGUGAGUAACUGGGAGGACUCAGCUACUCAAAUGACAUGAAAUGUUGGGAAAGCAUUACCUAUUCAUGCAUCCAUACAUCUGUUGUCAGUCAUCCACCCAACCAUUCAUCAUCCAUGAAUUCAUGUAUCUAUGAAUCCAUUAAUUCAUCCAUCAUCCAUGCAUCUGUGCAUCCGCCCAUCCAUUUAUUCAUCCAUUCAUCCAUCCAUCAUCCAAGUAUCCAUUUAUCUAAUCACCAUUCACAUCUAUGUGUCCCUCCUUUCCCCAUCCAUCCAUCCUUUCCCCAUCCAUCCAUCCAUCCAUCCAUCCAUCUGGCCAACCAUGCAUUUACCCAUCAUCUGUCAUCUAUCAUCUCUAGCUGUGGUGGACACUGUGAUGUGCUGUUCAGACCCCCUUGUGAUGGAGGACUUGUAGCUCCAACUGCUAGGAGUGCUGGUGUCAAGGAGCUUUUAGUGGUCAGUUUCUUCAGGGAUUGUCUUAGUUGAAGAGAGCUGCCUUGCCCAAGAUUAAGCCCUUUCCCAAGGAAGCCUACAUUCAAUGUUGUCGUUGUGAGAGUAUAAGGGCCUGAUCAUCUUGGUGCAUCAGGACAACUCUGCAGGGCUGUUCUUGCUCCAGAGCUCUCAUGGUAUGGGGCCUGCAUUGCAGCUUGAAUUUCCCUCUGCCUGCUCCUGCUUCCUUCAUUUUCCUUGUACAGGUGAUCCCCAGCACGCUCCUUAUUAAACAUCCUGCACUCUAACUAUGGCUUAGGAUGUCCUUCCUGGGGAAUUCAACAUGUGACUCUGACAUCAUCCUUUCAUCAAUAAAUGCAUUUCU